AAUAUUGGACAAUGGGCGAACGCCUGCUCCAGCCAUGCCGCGUGUGUGAAGAAGGUCUUCGGAAUGUAAAGCACUUUAAUCUGGGCGGUAGGCCCGUAAGUUAAUACCUUGCUGUUUUGACGUUCCCGACAAAAUAAGCCCCGUCUAACUUCGUGCCAGCAGCCGCGGUAAUACGAAGGGUGAAAGCAUUAAUCGGAAUUACUGGGCGUAAAGCGCGCGUAGGUGGUUCGUUAAGUUGGAUGUGAAAGCCCCGGGAUCAACCUGGGAACUGCAGCAAAAACUGGCGGGCUAGAGUACGGUAGAGGGUGGUGGAAUUUCCUGUGUAGCGGUGAAAUGCGUAGAUAUAGGAAGGAACACCAGUGGCGAAGGCGACCACCUGGACUGAUACUGACACUGAGGUGCGAAAGCGUGGGGAGCAAACAGG
rnacentral:rRNA from 1 species